rnacentral:rRNA from 1 species
GACAGAGGGGGGCAAGCGUUGCUCGGAAUCACUGGGCGUAAAGGGCGCGUAGGCGGGAUGGCAAGUCGGUCGUGAAAUCCUUCGGCUCAACCGAAGAACGUCGGCCGAUACUGCCGUUCUUGAGGGAUGCAGAGGAGAUUGGAAUUCCCGGUGUAGCGGUGAAAUGUGUAGAGAUCGGGAGGAACACCGGUGGGCGAAGGCGGGUCUCUGGGCAUCUCCUGACGCUGAGGCG